rnacentral:rRNA from 1 species
AGUGAACGCUGGCGGUGGGCCUAACACAUGCAAGUCGAACGGCAGCACAGUAAGAGCUUGCUCUUACGGGUGGCGAGUGGCGGACGGGUGAGGAAUACAUCGGAAUCUACUUUUUCGUGGGGGAUAACGUAGGGAAACUUACGCUACUACCGCAUACGACCUACGGGUGAAAGCAGGGGAUCUUCGGACCUUGCGCGAUUGAAUGAGCCGAUGUCGGAUUAGCUAGUUGGCGGGGUAAAGGCCCACCAAGGCGACGAUCCGUAGCUGGUCUGAGAGGAUGAUCAGCCACACUGGAACUGAGACACGGUCCAGACUCCUACGGGAGGCAGCAGUGGGGAAUAUUGGACAAUGGGCGCAAGCCUGAUCCAGCCAUACCGCGUGAGUGAAGAAGGCCUUCGGGUUGUAAAGCCCUUUUGUUGGGAAAGAAAAGCAGCAGGUUAAUACCCCGCUGUUCUGACGGUACCCAAAGAAUAAGCACCGGCUAACUUCGUG